UGACAAUUUCUUUAAAACGAAUUAUCAGCAAUGAAAAUUGGUCCAAUAGGUUUUGAGAAAAAUUAUGUUGGAGUUUGCACUAGGAAUAUCAGUCGGGUCGUAGAAAUUAUCAGUUGAAAAAUUGAUUUUCAUUUUUUGCAAAAGUGUGUGCAAACUAAGGGUUUUAUAGUUUUUAAAAAGUUUUGACAAUUUCUUGAAUAACGACAUCUCAAAAAUCAGAAAAAAAUUCUAACACCUGCGAAUACAUAGAUCUCAUAAAAUCUAUACAAACAUAACUUAAUGCAGUUGGGUUCAAUUGACUAUUUUGCAACAAAAUUGACUUAAAAACGGUUAAUUACCAAUUUAUAUACUUAAAAAAAAUUGAUUAUGAUUUAAUUAAACAAAGUUGGUUAUGUCGUAAUAAAACAAUGUUAAAGACUGCUAAAACCAAGUUAGAAAUUGUCCACUGCAAUGUAAUAAAAGUUGGAAUACCAUUGUUUACAGCUUAAAACAAAGGUUUUAGUCACACAACUUAAAAAUCUAGGCUGAUUAUGACUUAACGAAAACUGCAUUGCAAAACAGGUGACUAUGGCUUAACAAAAUGAAGUUGAAAACAGUUGGUUACGACUUAAAAUAAUCAAAAAAUUAAUCAAUUUUAAUAAAUUAAAAUGACCAUCUGUGGUUUUCAUAACCCUAGAGGGAUGUUUCUUCAGAAGUUUCCAGUUAAAAAAUAUAAAGAAAAAAAAUAGAAAACAAUGCAGGUUUUUAUUUUCCAGCUGAGAGUACAAUUUUAAAUUUUCCAAGCAGGUUUCUUCAUGAAACAAUUGUACAACUGACAAUUACAAAAAUGUAGCGAAAAAGAUUCAUUAUGGUAAUGUAUAAUUGGCAAGCAUGGAGGUUGUCUUUGUUGCAGGAAGCCUAUCGAUUACGAAAAAUUACUUGAACAAUUGGUACACAAGCACCGUGUUGUGAUAUUCUCCAAAACAUUUUGCACCGAUUCCGACAUUGCAAAGAAUGUGAGAUAAAAAUAUCUCUUUUGAAAUUUACAUUAACGCCUUAUUUUUACAGAUAUUCCAAAUGGCGGGUGCUGAUUAUUUAGCAAUCGAAAUGGACCAACUGCCAAUGACUGAUGAACUGAUGUUAACUCUUAUUAAGAAAACUGGAUUCGAUUCAGUAAGAUAUUAAAAUUUAAAAGUUGUUUAUACAAGAAUAAAUUUUAUUUUUCAAGGUCCCUCAGAUAUUUUUAGAUGGCCAUUUUAUCGGUGGCAUACGGGAACUCAAGCUGUAUCUGAAAUCUGGAUUGCUCUACGAGACUCUUUGCCCAAAUAGCCCCCUUUGCACGACGACUAAAAAUAAAAAAACAAAUGUCAACAAAUUUAUUAAACCGGUACGCACAUGCAACAGACGACCUUGCCAAAUAAAACCCAAAUGAACCAAACAACGA